AUAGUACUUCAUCCGUCCGAAAAUAUUUGUCAUUAAAAUAAAUAAAAAGAGAUGUAUUUUAAUUUUAGAUAUACCUUUUUUUCUUUAUUUUGAUGACAAGUAUUUUUGGGCGGAGGAAGUACUAU
rnacentral:pre_miRNA from 1 species